rnacentral:rRNA from 1 species
GAUGAACGCUGGCGGCGUGCCUAAUACAUGCAAGUCGAGCGAACAGACGAGGAGCUUGCUCCUCUGACGUUAGCGGCGGACGGGUGAGUAACACGUGGAUAACCUACCUAUAAGACUGGGAUAACUUCGGGAAACCGGAGCUAAUACCGGAUAAUAUAUUGAACCGCAUGGUUCAAUAGUGAAAGACGGUUUUGCUGUCACUUAUAGAUGGAUCCGCGCCGCAUUAGCUAGUUGGUAAGGUAACGGCUUACCAAGGCAACGAUGCGUAGCCGACCUGAGAGGGUGUUGGGCCCCACUGGAACUGAACCCCGGCCCAGACUCCUACGGGAGGCAGCAGUAGGGAAUCUUCCGCAAUGGGGGAAAGCUUGACGGAGCAACGCCGCGUGGGUGAUGAAGGUCUUCGGAUCGUAAAACUCUGUUAUUAGGGAAGAACAAAUGUGUAAGUAACUAUGCACGUCUGGAGGGAACCUAAUAAGAAGGCCACGGCUAACUACGU